rnacentral:rRNA from 1 species
UACGUAGGGGGCAAGCGUUGUCCGGAUUCAUUGGGCGUAAAGAGCGUGUAGGCGGCCAGGUAGGUCCGCUGUGAAAACUCGAGGCUCAACCUCGAGAUGUCGGCGGAAACCAUCUGGCUAGAGUCCGGAAGAGGAGAGUGGAAUUCCCCGGUGUAGCGGUGAAAUGCGCAGAUAUCGGGAAGAACACCCGUGGCGAAGGCGGCUCUCUGG